rnacentral:rRNA from 1 species
GAGUUUGAUCGUGGCUCAGAGCGAACGCUGGCGGCAGGCCUAACACAUGCAAGUCGAACGGACCCUUCGGGGUUAGUGGCGGACGGGUGAGUAACACGUGGGAACGUGCCUUUAGGUUCGGAAUAGCUCCUGGAAACGGGUGGUAAUGCCGAAUGUGCCCUUCGGGGGAAAGAUUUAUCGCCUUUAGAGCGGCCCGCGUCUGAUUAGCUAGUUGGUGAGGUAACGGCUCACCAAGGCGACGAUCAGUAGCUGGUCUGAGAGGAUGACCAGCCACACUGGGACUGAGACACGGCCCAGACUCCUACGGGAGGCAGCAGUGGGGAAUCUUGCGCAAUGGGCGAAAGCCUGACGCAGCCAUGCCGCGUGAAUGAUGAAGGUCUUAGGAUUGUAAAAUUCUUUCACCGGGGACGAUAAUGACGGUACCCGGAGAAGAAGCCCCGGCUAACUUCGUGCCAGCCGCCG